UCGGGAAUUUUGGGCAAUGGGGGAAACCCUGACCCAGCAACGCCGCGUGAAGGAUGAAGUAUUUCGGUAUGUAAACUUCGAAAGAAUAGGAAGAAUAAAUGACGGUACUAUUUAUAAGGUCCGGCUAACUACGUGCCAGCAGCCGCGGUAAGACAGAGGCCACGAACGUUGUUCGGAAUCACUGGGCAUAAAGCGCACGUAGGCGGCUAGGUCCGUCCGAUGUGAAAGCCCCCGGCUCAACCGGGGAAUUGCAUCGGAUACAGCCUGGCUUGAGGACGGUUGGGGUGAGUGGAACUCCUGGUGGAGCGGUGAAAUGCGUAGAUAUCAGGAGGAACACCGGUGGCGAAAGCGGCUCACUGGACCGUUACUGACGCUGAGGUGCGAAAGCUAGGGGAGCAAACGGGAUUAGAUACCCUCGUAGUCCCUGAGCGGGCUGGCAAGGCGCAU
rnacentral:rRNA from 1 species